rnacentral:rRNA from 1 species
UACGUAGGUGGCAAGCGUUAUCCGGAAUUAUUGGGCGUAAAGAGCGCGCAGGUGGUUGAUUAAGUCUGAUGUGAAAGCCCACGGCUUAACCGUGGAGGGUCAUUGGAAACUGGUCGACUUGAGUGCAGAAGAGGGAGGUGGAAUUCCAUGUGUAGCGGUGAAAUGCGUAGAGAUAUGGAGGAACACCAGUGGCGAAGGCGGCUUCCUGGUCUGUAACUGACACUGAGGCGCGAAAGCGUGGGGAGCAAACAGGAUUAGAUACU